rnacentral:rRNA from 1 species
CCAAUAGCGUAUAUUAAAGUUGUUGCAGUUAAAAAGCUCGUAGUUGAAUUUCGGGAUCAGUUCGCUGGUCGUGCCUCUGGUAUGUACUGGUGUUACUGGUUCCUCCCUUCUGACGAACUGUCCUGUCAUUUAUUUGGUGUGGCAGGGAAUCAGGACUGUUACUUUGAAAAAAUUAGAGUGUUUAAAGCAGGCUCGCGCUUGAAUACAUUAGCAUGGAAUAAUGAAAUAGGACGUUCGAUCCUAUUUUGUUGGUUUCUAGGAUUGACGUAAUGAUUAAUAGGGGUAGUUGGGGGCAUUAGUAUUCAAUUGUCAGAGGUNAAAUUCUUGGAUUUAUUGAAGACUAACUACUGCGAAAGCAUUUGCCAAGGAUGUUUUCAUUAAUCAAGAACGAAAGUUAGGGGAUCGAAGACGAUCAGAUACCGUCGUAGUCUUAACCAUAAACUAUGCCGACUAGGGAUCGGAUGAUGUUAUUUUUAAUGACUCAUUCGGCGCCUUACG